CCAGACUCCUACGGGAGGCAGCAGUGGGGAAUAUUGCACAAUGGGGGAAACCCUGAUGCAGCGACGCCGCGUGAGUGAAGAAGUAAUUCGUUAUGUAAAGCUCUAUCAGCAGGGAAGAAAAUGACGGUACCUGCAAAGGAAGCACCGGCUAACUCCGUGCCAGCAGCCGCGGUAAUACGGAGGGUGCGAGCGUUGUCCGGAUUUACUGGGUGUAAAGGGCGUGUAGCCGGGCUGACAAGUCAGAUGUGAAAUCCGGGGGCUCAACCCGUGAACUGCAUUUGAAACUGUUUCCCUUGAGUGUCGGAGAGGUAAUCGGAAUUCCUUGUGUAGCGGUGAAAUGCGUAGAUAUAAGGAAGAACACCAGUGGCGAAGGCGGAUUACUGGACGAUAACUGACGGUGAGGCGCGAAAGCGUGGGGAGCAAACAGGAUUAGAUACCCUCGUA
rnacentral:rRNA from 1 species